CCAGACUCCUACGGGAGGCAGCAGUGGGGAAUAUUGCACAAUGGGGGAAACCCUGAUGCAGCGACGCCGCGUGAGCGAUGAAGUAUUUCGGUAUGUAAAGCUCUAUCAGCAGGGAAGAAAAUGACGGUACCUGACUAAGAAGCCCCGGCUAACUACGUGCCAGCAGCCGCGGUAAUACGUAGGGGGCAAGCGUUAUCCGGAUUUACUGGGUGUAAAGGGGGCGUAGACGGCUGUGCAAGCCAGAUGUGAAAGCCCGGGGCUCAACCCCGGGACUGCAUUUGGAACUGCGUGGCUCGAGUGCUGGAGAGGUAAGCGGAAUUCCUAGUGUAGCGGUGAAAUGCGUAGAUAUUAGGAGGAACACCAGUGGCGAAGGCGGCUUACUGGACAGUAACUGACGUUGAGGCUCGAAAGCGUGGGGAGCAAACAGGAUUAGAUACCCGCGUA
rnacentral:rRNA from 1 species